AUUCUCCAGACUGAUAACGGCAAAGAAUUUAAUAAUGCUGAUCUUUGUGCAGUAAUUGAUGAGUUUAAGACAAGAAAAAUUAAUGGUCGUCCGUACCAUCCCCAAUCACAAGGACGUGUAGAAAGAUUUAACAGGACUGUAGUCGCAUACUUUAGAGCCCAAUUUGUUGAUACUAGAGAUUGGCCAAGUUUACUAGGAGAAUUUUAUUAUAAAUACAACAACAGAGUCAACAAAUCUACUAGACCCAUGACACCUCACCAAAGAUUUUUUUAAGAGGCCAAAUUUUUCAAUGGCAUUAGAAGAACAGGUUGCAAAGUGUAAUUUGACUAAAGAGGAAAAAGAAUUUUUAGAAAUGGCUCACUUGGAUGUUGAAGAAGAUGAUGACGACAACAAUAACUUGGCCUUAAAUGAAAACUUAAAAUCAGUGAAAAUUAAUGAAAUUACAGAUACAGAAGAGAGUCAUAUUAAUCAGGUAUAAAAAUAGCUGUAAUAAUAUUUUAAAUAAAAAAUAACGAAACUGGUAAAAUAA